rnacentral:rRNA from 1 species
GAUGAACGCUGGCGGCGUGCCUAAUACAUGCAAGUCGAGCGAACAUACGAGGAGUUUGCUCCUCUGACGUUAGCGGCGGACGGGUGAGUAACACGUGGAUAACCUACCUAUAAGACUGGGAUAACUUCGGGAAACCGGAGCUAAUACCGGAUAAUAUAUUGAACCGCAUGGUUCAAUAGUGAAAGACGGUUUUGCUGUCACUUAUAGAUGGAUCCGCGCCGCUUUAGAUAGUUGGUAAGGUAACGGCUUACCAAGGCAACGAUGCGUAGCCGACCUGAGAGGGUGAUCGGCCACACUGGAACUGAGACACGGUCCAGACUCCUACGGGACGCAGCAGAAGGGAAUCUUCCGCAAUGGGCGAAAGCCUGACGGAGCAACGCCGCGUGAGGGAUGAAGGUCUUCGGAUCGUAAAACUCUGUUAUUAGGGAAGAACAAAUGUGUAAGUAACUAUGCACGACUUGACGGUACCUAAUCAGAAGGCCACGGCUAACUACGUG